rnacentral:tRNA from 1 species
GCGAAAGGAGCUCGGGUUGGUUGAGCAGUAGAUUGUGAAUCUAAAGGUUAUGGGUUCAAAUCCCAUCUUUCGCCC